AUCCAGGUCACUGACGAGUCCCAAAUAGGACGAAGCGCACUUCCUGGAU
rfam:Schistosoma haematobium scaffold983_9, whole genome shotgun sequence.